rnacentral:lncRNA from 1 species
UAAAAUAAGCCAAGCAAUUGCUACCAAUAAUGACACACUUGGGAGCAAUUAGAGGCCUUAUUUAAUGGGCACCAAAGGCAGGUGGGUAUGAGUGUUAGAUGAUAGGAGUUGUAGUGUGGGUGGGUGUGUAGAAGUAAGGUGGCAGAAGAGGGAAGCUCUUCUGCUUGAGCAAUGUUGGUUCUGGAGGGCUUGUUAUUCCUCACACAGAUGUAAAGAGUUGUCAUGAAUGUCUCUAUUGUAUUUGAGGAAGCUGAGUUAGGAAAGCUGGGAAGUUAUUGACCUGAGUGGAUGGUCUUUAGUAGAUCUUCAAAUACAGAAAUGGGAGAUAUGCCUGUGUCAUGUCUUUGCACAUCUAACUAUUCUAGCUGAACUGAAUGAUGAUAUGAAGGGAGAGGAAAUAAUUUCCAGAGCAGGGAACCAACAGUGCGAAAAGGUGAGCUGCUUAAAGGUGAACUGACACCCUGCUUCAAAAAUAAGCACAGCCAAGGUGUGGGAAUAG